rnacentral:rRNA from 1 species
GUAACAAGGUCUCCGUUGGUGAACCAGCGGAGGGAUCAUUGCUGGAACGCGCCCCAGGCGCACCCAGAAACCCUUUGUGAACUUAUACCUUACUGUUGCCUCGGCGCAUGCCGGCCCCCAGGGGCCCCUUGGAGACGAGGAGCAGGCACGCCGGCGGCCAACCUAACUCUUGUUUUUACACUGAAACUUUGAGGAAAAAAAAAACAAAAUGAAUCAAAACUUUCAACAACGGAUCUCUUGGUUCUGGCAUCGAUGAAGAACGCAGCGAAAUGCGAUAAGUAAUGUGAAUUGCAGAAUUCAGUGAAUCAUCGAAUCUUUGAACGCACAUUGCGCCCUCCGGUAUUCCGGAGGGCAUGCCUGUUCGAGCGUCAUUUCAACCCUCAAGCACUGCUUGGUGUUGGGGCACUGCUCCUCUCGCGGGGAGCAGGCCCUGAAAUUCAGUGGCGAGCUCGCCAGGACCCCGAGCGCAGUAGUUAAACCCUCGCUCUGGAAGGCCCUGGCGGUGCCCUGCCGUUAAACCCCCAACUCUUGAAAAUUAGAAUCGGAUCAGUAG